CUUAAACCGGGGCCCCCUUCCCGAGCCCCCAGUCGUGACGUGCGAGUGGGGGAUUUUAAUCUAAAGGGGAGACCUAUUCCCCCCCCCCCAGCCCCCACCCGUGAGCGGUGGGUGGGGGCCCUAAAGUAAAAUAAUGGGGGGUCCUAUUGUCCUCCCCUCCGGCCCCCACCCCUGAGCGGCGGGUGGGCGCCCUAAACACCAAUAAGAGGGGGG